GAUUCAUGGCUCAGGACGAACGCUGGCGGCGCGCCUAACACAUGCAAGUCGAACGAGCGAGAGAGAGCUUGCUUUAUCAAGCGAGUGGCGAACGGGUGAGUAACGCGUGAGGAACCUGCCUCAAAGAGGGGGACAACAGUUGGAAACGACUGCUAAUACCGCAUAAGCCCACAGCUCGGCAUCGAGCAGAGGGAAAAGGAGCAAUCCGCUUUGAGAUGGCCUCGCGUCCGA
rnacentral:rRNA from 1 species